GAUACCCUAUUAUUUUAAAUGUGAAUUUUAAAACUGAAAUUAUUAUUAGUUAAGAUCUUUAAAGUUAAAGAUUUUGGCGGUAUUUUAGUCUUUUCAGAGGAACCUGUCUUUUAAUCGAUAAUCCACGAUUAUUAAUACUUUGUUUAAUUAAUUUGCAUAUCGUCGUUAAAUAAAUAUUUUAUUAGGAUUUUAAUUUUUAGGAUUUUUUAUUAUAAAGUAAUUCAGAUCAAGGUGUAGUUUAUAGCAAAGAUAAGAUGGGUUACAUUAUAUUUAUAUGUGGAUUUUCUUUUUUGAAUGGAAAUUAAAUUGGAUUUGAAAGUAAUAUUUAUAUUUAUAUAAUAUGAUUUAGCUCUAAAAUAUGCACACAUCGCC
rnacentral:rRNA from 1 species